GGAAGGCAGAGUGUGGCCUCUGGUAAGUGUUAAGGAUAAUAAAGACGGGCUUAAGAGGGUUUAGGAGCUGAUGUUGGGUAACAGCAGGACAAAUGAGAGGGUCUUUCUGACCACAGCACUGGGGUGACCCCAGCUGAAUCAACAACAGCACCACGGGAAAUCAGAGCACACGGGAGAGGAGGCUGUUGUGUCUCCAAGUGUGAAAAUUCCUUCUCAUCACAGAUAACACUGACACUUCAGUGAAUUACACUUCUCAGUGAGGAGUUCCCCUCAAGUCCACUCUGAACGGACCCCGGGUCGUCACAAGCACGCGGCAAGAUAACGAGACCCCCCAUUAAACACUAUCAGGAUACUGUAAGAGUGAUGCAUAACUCGGUUAAGACAAUAAAAGAGUCUUGACACAGGAAACACACGAGCCGGGACUGAAAUGUGACAAUAAAAACGAGGCAUGAUCCUGAAACCUCAGCUGCUGAACUGAGACGCUGAGCCGAGCCUGAAAAAUCCAGGAGUCACCGGGGUCUCAGAUGAGAAAGUUCAGUGUUCGCUAAACCAAGUUCAAAGUUGAAUAAAAUGGUCCAAGGUAUAAAAAAAAACUAUGUCCUCGUCGACAAUAAAUGAAAGACCGAGUGGGUCUUCCGUUUGUCGGGGUCAGCUUUUAUUGUUAAACCAGAUUUAUGGUUAAAAUUGUGAAUGCAUUCCAAAAUGGAUUACAGGACGGAGAAAGGCUAUUGUGAAAUAUUAUGGAUAUUAUAUUAUAUAAUGUAGAUAUUUCAAAUAAGCUAAUGUUUACUGGGCCACACAGUCAUGUGGUGAAAGACAAUAUUGUCUAUUAUGACACAUUCACAUUAUCUGAACAUCAAAACAAGCUCUAAAAUGUCUGAGGUCAGUUUCAGAUUGACCUCGACUCCACCUUUAUACUGAUGUAGCUGCAAUUCCAACAGUGACUUUACAUGAUUCAAAAUUAUAUGCCGUAAAUGCAGUGAACGAUUGCUCCAACAAUACAAGUAUCGCUAUAACAAUGAUGUACGGCUGGUAAAAAUGGUUAAAAAUACUCCCUUGUUUUCUACAACUGGUUGCUGGCCUCUACGUGUUGGAUUUAUGACGUGCCGUUGAUUUGUCCAGGGUGUUCUCCAACACUUACUGACUCACUCACACUGGGACGGAUUCCAGCUGCCCUGACAGAAUCGACAGGGCAGAUGAUUACAGGGAUUAAGUUCAUCUAGUAAAUUCACAUUACAUUAAACAUUGCAUUUACUGCUUGUAUUUAACAACCAUUACUCUUUUUUAACCUGAGCAGUUUUCUAUAGGUCAACAAAUGACCAUCCUUCCUCAGCAUCGAGCGAGGAGAAGGAAGGAAGGACAUCUGUGGGUAUUCAAAGGAAGGACACAUGCAUUCUCCACGCUUGGAUUCUUUUUAUUUAAGUGUGAGGAACCAAUCCAAAGGAUGUGGUGGAGGAAAGAGGACACACAAGAACAAUACGUUCUGAGAGGAAAAGCAGACAUUUCUACACCCGUUUGUACAAUUUCUCUGGUCUGAAUGCUCCCUCAUGACCUAUAGCAGAAGAGAAAACAUUUUUCUCACACUGACAUGACUCCUCAGCUGAUUAUUUGGCCCAGAGCUGAUAUCAAAUGACUGUAUAGCUGUUAAUUCACCCUUGGCUCAGAGAUAUGAUCACCAAUAUUCUGUCUCUAAACUUUUCUUGUCAUCUUCGGACUUUCUGGGCUGCACUAUCGUGCGACAAUACAUAAAGUGCAUACUUGGUUUGUUGCCAGCAAACAACGAAUGUCCGACUUUGGAACAAAUCCAAAUCCAUUUUAAUGGGUAUGACACAUACUCUAUCUAGCUGCUCAUUUGUCAGACCAAUGUAACUUAGUCGUGACAUAUCAAAGACAGUGCUCUGACCCUGUCUGACUGGGCAGUCUCUGUUAGAUUUAAUAGACUGCUCACUAAUCUAACUCAGUCAUUUCAUUAUUGCGACAUGUAUUACAAAAAAUAACAGAACACAGCGCUGUUUUCCAGUUACUGUUACUUUCCUACCACACACAGUGUGCAGCUGAAAACAUGUCCAAAAACCCAUGGUUCAGCCUCAGUCUUGGGCAGCUUCUGUUUCUUUACUUUUUGUUUACAUGCUACUCGUUUGUCUAAGAUUCUACAUGAAUUUUCUCACCGUCCGCACCAUUAGAAGUAGCUGCUCUGUGCUGUUUGUACACAGUGUGACGCAGCUUCUCUCUCAUUUCAGUUGUGCCUCUCGAUGACCGUCGAGCCACAGAGCUACUGGUUUUUAUCCCGGCCUCACGGUCCUGGGUGUGUUUCUAAUCAGCCUGAGUGAGGACAGGGCCAAAUCAUUCAUGAUAAAGGCUGCGUGUUUGCUGCGUGCUGUCACUCUGAGUUGCAGCCCAGUCUUUGAGUCAGGGCACUGCUGCCACUGUGCAUCAGCCGAGCGGCCCAGACGCCACUGUUGUGGUGUUGAGCUAUCACAGCCGACAGUCCUCCGAGCCACAUCCAAGAAAAGAGAACAUUUAUCACCGCGGGGAGAUGUGUAUCUGAGUAAGGUCUCAAACAAUGAGGAAAACACUCACUCACACAGACGUAACCAUGCACAUCCUCACUGUGUGUGAACUCAGCUCACAUUGUGGUUCUGCUGCUUUCAUUUGACCUUCAUCUCUGUCCUAACCAUUUCUCAGUGUGGUUUGAUCCAGCAGAUAAAUACCCACUUCUGAGGGAACUCCCGCUCCCACGUCAGCGUCGGCCUGCGAGACGUACUUGAACAUGUGUACGGUCCUGGUCAGGAGAUGAAUCUUAUUCCUUGGUUGGUUUCCUGUGCACUGUUGGAUUCACCGUAAAAACUUUUAUAGGAGGAAAAAGAUGAAAACACCUUCCCUCCAGCUCAACGCUUCGGACCAUUUAUCCCCCAAAAAACAAUUUUUGUCAGGAUGUUUAUAGUAGCGCGGUAGUUGCGCUGUUGCUAGGUGGUUAUGUGCACGAAAGUGUACGUGAUUGCACACCUGCUGCUCAGAGAAAUCACUAGCAGAUGCACUGGAGAUCUACUGUACCAGGGCAGCAGGCUGAUGCACCCGGAUAAGAUCAGUAAUAACAGUCAACAGGCCAAAACACACACAGAGGUGCACUACCUGAGACGGAGAAACACCUGGAUCCCAUUAGCACUGUCAAUAUGACCACACACGUGUAAAGCACUGAGCACUGUCCAAACAGACUUGACGACGCUUCAUUACUAUUGAUCCGUUCUGCUGCGCGUGGUUUCAAAACAAACAUAGACAAACACCGUGUGUUCUACUUGUUCUACACCUGAGAAUACGGUAAAUCCACUGUGAGUGUGUGUGUGGACGCUACGUCAAUGUGUUGUUUGGAAAUAUAGACAGAGAAAUUCACUCUCAAUGGUUUGGUUUGGUCUAGAUUAAUUUAAACCAGAUGUGUGUGCUGUGAAUGAGAUAAGUUUGGUCUAAAUCAGUUGGGUUUGGUAUAGUGUAGUUGACAAGUUAAAAUUAGAUUAGAUUAGAUUGGAUUGGAUAGGAUUAGAUCAGUUUAGUGUAGAUAAAUUGAGGUGAGAUUAAUAUAGUUUAUUGGAAUUGACUCCCCAGUAAAUCAUACAUGAUUUGUAUUAUUUUUUAAUUAACCCAUGUUUUACAGUAAAGCUCUACACUCAUAUUCAGGAAACCCAAAUUUUCUGCCUGUAUUUGCAUUGAUAAGAAAACCACCCACGCUAAAAAAAAACCUGUUUUGAUAAAGAUGAGAAAUUAAAUUUGAUGUAAACCAUGAAUACAUCCUUUGGUGGUGAAAGUUUUGGGGGGUCUGUGCCACAAAGGAGAAACAAAUUCAGCCAAACUACCUACAAAAUCAUCAAAAUGUGUAUCCUGAUUUUGAAACAGGAAAUUACACCCAAACAUUCUCGGCUUUCACUUUGUUGCACCAACACACAAGUACACAAACAAAUACUUUCUGUAUCGAUUUCACUGGAUUUGGUCAUAAAACAAUGGUAACGAGAACUGAAUCAACAAACACAGGAUCCCACACACCAUCUUAUUUGAACUGGUGACGUUUUUGCACGUUUUUGGGGUGGUAGAGAAAACAAUAGACAAAAGUGUUUCCUUUUUAAAAAAAAAACAAAAAAAAAAAACCUUGUUAAAAGUACGUUGCCAAGAUUCUGGUAAAAUCAUUAAGAUAAGAUGAAAUGAUACAUAUAUUUUUUGUAUAGAACUACUUUCUGGGAAAGGCAAACAAGAGGUUAAGCAAAAAUUUUAAAAAGUCUUCUCUUUCACAUCUGUGAUUUGGUCAAAUUUUUUUAAUUUGAUUUAGUUUCCUUCUGGUCACAACUGCCACGUAUUCAAAAGAGAAACCAUGGACACAUAUGUCUGUGACAUAUAUUAUGUACCUAUAUUAGUUGUACAAACAGCUUCUUACUUUCUGUACGGUAUAAGGAGGAAUGCAACCAUUAAAACUUGCCAAGAACAGCACGACCAACGAGAUAAGCAACGACCUGUCAACGCAGUGGAAAACAUCAUUAAUUAAAUGUAAUUAUGACAGAGAAUAGUUCUACAAACAAAUUCUUGUGUUUCAAACCAAGUGUUAAGGCAUUCGACCCAAUUACAUUUUGAUGAAUGCUCCUAUUAAUUUGAUUAAAGCGUAAUUUGUCUUGCGACCGACACAGAUUGUCAGUUAAUACUUUGCUUCCUGUAUUUUGUUUGAAAAAAGGUACAUAUUUAAAGCCAUUUUUCUUCCUGAGGAUUCGACACAGUCUGUGCUGAAACAUUCUCAGGGCUGGAUGAGACCUGGUGUUGUUCCACAGGCUGUAUCAUUGACAUCAGUGAUGAAGAACAUUGUAUUCUUGGACAGAUCAUCUAAAAAAAGAGUCCAGUGCAGUAAUCACACGAGUCAGCACAUUCCUGAGGCUAGUCUGCAUGUUCAGGGUGAAAGCGACUGCUAAUCCUUUAUUUUUGCACGUGCUAACUGUGAUAUUGCACAUUAUAUCAGAUUAUUCUAUCACCCAGGUAAUUAAUUAUGCUCAAAUGUGCAAUCAAUAUGCAAUCAGAGUGUGGGAAGGAGUUUUCGUUUGACCGAAGUUCCUGGAGCAUGAACAUCAACUCAACGACCAGGAACGUAUUUGUGAAGACUUAACAAAGUUAAAACAGUUUUGUAACACACACGUCUACCUGCUGGGGUGGGAGGGUGUUGUCAUAUUAAUGAAUGUUAAUUUUCAUGAUAAAUCUCAUAUAGUUUGAAUAAAUUGUGAUUAAUCCACAGCUCUCCGGUGAUUAAUCAGAUUAAAAACUGAGCAAAUGUUCAAGUAUGAAAAUCAAGUACAAAAGAAGUGUUCCUUCAAAGACUAAGGCUUGGCAAACGUGUAAUAAGCUGUGGCUCACCAUUUUGUGCUGCCAUUGAAAAUGUCUGGCACAUCAUGAAUGGACGAGUCGGACAACAGUGACCAAGGAGACCAGCAGCUGGGUUUGGGUUUUUUGGGGGGGGGUUUUGGACCAGUAAAACAUUUGUUUUGCAACAGUUUGUAAAUAUGUUAGGCGUAGCAAAUGGAGCUAAGUUGGUCAGUAGACACUUUUGCCAGAGGAAUAAAAGUUCAUUUCCAAAGUACUAUCAUAUUAGUUAUUGAAGGAUUUCUUAAACUGUUACUUUGUGUGAAUGAGGUUUUUAAUAUGAGUUCAUCCUUGAAAUAUUACUGACGACCGUUCUUACAGGGAUGAUGUGGUACAGAGAGACAACAGAGAUUCAUACUGUGGCACUGCACAGGGACCGGGUUGAAAACAUUCAUCACAACAGAAAUGUGCGCUGCAUUACGCCACGUAACCUCGUUUACCCCUUCAUGAACAUAAAUACUCAGCACGUUGUGGAGUCACAACUCUGCAUAAAGACUGACUGAAGAAAAAAAAAUACCACCAUGCUUUGCGCCCCCAUUAACUUGAAGCCAUUACUUUCUGUCUUUAAAUCUUGCAGUUGCAGUUGUUAUUCUACUGUCAGGAUGCAGGACAGCACAGAACAGCAGUGUUACCGUCGCCCUGCUGCACCCACGGGGAUUUACACCCUACCCUCCUACGCCCUAUAAAUCCACCAAGUUGACAAACACAAAGUAGCAGGAUUCAUUGCAUGUGCUCACACAAACACACUCAAGAUGAACGGCUUUGCCACCCACUAAAUUCUGGGUCUGGUGUGGUCUAUCUGCUAAUUUCUUUCCAGAAAUUAUGAUGUGCACAAACACACUCACACACAUACGUACACACACAGCAGACGUACACAU